CCGGGAAGAUUGAUAUUAAGCAACCAUGAUUUUAACACAUCAGGCCUAACCACAUAACAUUCAUACAAUAACAAAUAAUUCAAACCUGGCCUAAAUGUUACUGCAAAUAUAACCCAAAACAAUUCUUUCACUUAUAGCCACUUUCAAAUAGAACCGAUAACUUAAACAUGAGAAUCUAAACGCUUAAAGCUUCAAUCUCAUGCUAUGACAUCUUUUCAUGAUCCAUGUACUAAUCAGAACAUUUCUAGAGCUAAAUAUUACAGCUAUACAUGAGAUUGAAAAGAGAAGAAGUAAGAUUAAACAACGAAUAACAUCAGCCCUUCAUAUUUCCAAGUCCAAACUUCAUAUUACAACUAAGUGAAGUCCAUGGUUCCAAAAAUACCUGGAAAAUACCGAAAGAAAAGUCAAGAGAAUGAGGGAGCAGCAAACAGCAGUAACCCAGCAACAGGAAACAAAACAAGCAAAACCAGCUCAAAGCAAGCAAUGGAAGAGUGAUUCCCAGCAAACCAAAACCCAACUUCAAACUAGAUUCAAACCAUUUCUCAACCCCAACAAUAUGAUUAUAGAAUUCUUCAAGAGUUCUAACUAAUAGGAGAAUUAGAAAUCCAAAAACAAAGCAGAAUUUUAUCAAUUUUUUCAACGAAGAACUACCAGGAUUUUCAGUGUUUUUCAGAGUUUUCUAUAGAUUCCAGCCGUUUCAAUUUUCAUUAUUGUUUUGGUCUCUAAAAGGUCUCUC
rnacentral:lncRNA from 1 species